GAUGAACGCUGGCGGCGUGCUUAACACAUGCAAGUCGAACGGUGAAGCUCCAGCUUGCUGGAGUGGAUCAGUGGCGAACGGGUGAGUAACACGUGAGCAACCUGCCCCUGACUCUGGGAUAACAGCCGGAAACGGCUGCUAAUACCGGAUAUGCACCAUGAACGCAUGUUCUGUGGUGGGAAAGAUUUUUCGGUUGGGGAUGGGCUCGCGGCCUAUCAGCUUGUUGGUGAGGUAAUGGCUCACCAAGGCGUCGACGGGUAGCCGGCCUGAGAGGGUGACCGGCCACACUGGGACUGAGACACGGCCCAGACUCCUACGGGAGGCAGCAGUGGGGAAUAUUGCACAAUGGGCGGAAGCCUGAUGCAGCAACGCCGCGUGAGGGAUGACGGCCUUCGGGUUGUAAACCUCUUUUAGCAGGGAAGAAGCGAGAGUGACGGUACCUGCAGAAAAAGCGCCGGCUAACUACGUG
rnacentral:rRNA from 1 species